rnacentral:rRNA from 1 species
UACGGAGGAUCCAAGCGUUAUCCGGAUUUAUUGGGUUUAAAGGGAGCGUAGGCGGCCUAUUAAGUCAGGGGUGAAAGACGGCAGCUUAACUGUCGCAGUGCCUUUGAUACUGAUAGGCUUGAAUGUAGUUGAGGUGGGCGGAAUGUGACAAGUAGCGGUGAAAUGCAUAGAUAUGUCACAGAACACCGAUUGCGAAGGCAGCUCACUAAGCUAUGAUUGACGCUGAGGCUCGAAAGCGUGGGGAUCAAACAGG